rnacentral:lncRNA from 1 species
UUAAAUAAUACUACUACGUUACAUUAUAUACUGCACUUUAACUGUCACAUAUUCCACUUGUUAAAUCAGCGUACUUGCUCCACUUUUUCAUACUAUAUGUUUGGACCUUCUCGGGACUUUUAAUUCUAUCCCAGUGCUGAGUUUUAGCACCCUGACUUGAAAAUCACAUGUCCUCUUAAUUGUCACUUGAAGAAUAACCAGCAGGAAUAUAAGAAAACAUCAUCACCUUUAGCUGUAGACAACCCCUUAUUCUGUAAUAUAAAACAGGUCCUUGUAGUUGUUUCCAAAAAAGAACUUUCUGAAACUAGACAUCAGAAAUUGUUGCUCUGUGGUCUAAAACUAAUGGUGAACCUCUAAAAUAUCAUUUUAUUAGUGGUCUUAAUAAUGGCUGUAGAAAUAUGUAAAUUGAUGUCUGUUUUUAGAAAGGUGUAUAUAUACUUGUGAGAUUUCUCUGUUAAACCAGAAGAGGAUUAUGGGAUUUCUUCUGCCAAGGGUAUAGAUAUAAAAUACAUAACUGUCUAUGACCCCUUAGGUUUCUUGUUUAAAGAGUCUAGGGUGUGUAAUCUCAUUUAAAUUCAUACUAGUUUAAUAAAUAUUUCACACAUGCCAUGACUUUUUAUUGUAAUUUAAUUAUUUAAUUUAAUCUAAUUGAAGAACCUCUGGUAAGUUAUGUUGGCAAUGCAGUUGAGCAGUUUGGCAAGGAGAGAGGAAUAGGGAGGAAGUUUUCAGCUGUGGGUCCAGAUUGGCUUCAGAAUGAUUAAUUACACAUACUGUUCUGAUUCCUUUUAGAACUACUUGCAAGCAAGAUACAACUUUACAAAAAUUCCAAGAGCCUCUCUGCAGAGCAGUGAUUUGUGUUGGAGGAGCAGCCAAUAGGAUGGUGGAAGUAGGACUAUUUAUGUGUCUUACCUCUUAUGGUUAAUCAUAGACUUAAUGGGAAAAACUUUGUGGUGGAUAUAUAUAUAUAUAUAUUCUGAAGUUCAAGGAGCCCCAGGAGUGAGAAGACAUGAUUCAGGGUGUCCAUGCAUCUCAGAGAUGUUGUGCCAAAACGUGUGUGCAUGACAGCAUUUUUCUUGGAGAGCUCAUAGGCUAAUUAACUUCUCAACAGCAACUGGAACCCAGAGAGGGUAAGAAUCUUGUCAUCUAGAUAUUUGAAGUCACUAAGACUUCUCUUCUUCUAGUUUCCUUUUUUAUUUUUUUUUUUUUCUUUUUUUUUUUUCUUUUUUUUUUUUUUUUUUUUUUUUUUUUCCCCUCCUUCUUUAGACUGAAAGUGAAAGUUUUCUGUCAUCUUGCUACAUUGUUUAUUUUCUCAAAAGUGUCUCCAAGGAGAGUGGCUGAGAUAUGGUUGAGCACUCAACUCUUACCACUAGUAGCCACUUAAUAUUAUAUUAUCACUAAGAG